rnacentral:rRNA from 1 species
GUGAGGAAUAUUGGUCAAUGGGCGAGAGCCUGAACCAGCCAAGUCGCGUGAAGGAAGAAGGAUCUAUGGUUCGUAAACUUCUUUUGCAGGGGAAUAAAGUGCGGGACGUGUCCUGUUUUGUAUGUACCCUGAGAAUAAGGAUCGGCUAACUCCGUGCCAGCAGCCGCGGUGAUACGGAGGAUCCGAGCGUUAUCCGGAUUUAUUGGGUUUAAAGGGUGCGUAGGUGGUUUGAUAAGUCAGCGGUGAAAGUUUGCAGCUUAACUGUAAAAAUGCCGUUGAAACUGUCGGACUUGAGUGUAAAUGAGGUAGGCGGAAUGCGUGGUGUAGCGGUGAAAUGCAUAGAUAUCACGCAGAACUCCGAUUGCGAAGGCAGCUUACUAAGCUACAACUGACACUGAAGCACGAAAGCGUGGGGAUCAAACAGGAUUAGAUACCCGGGUAGUCC